rnacentral:rRNA from 1 species
CUACGGGAGGCAGCAGUGGGGGAUAUUGGACAAUGGGCGCAAGCCUGAUCCAGCCAUGCCGCGUGAGUGAAGAAGGCCUUAGGGUUGUAAAGCUCUUUCAGCGGGGAAGAUGAUGACGGUACCCGCAGAAGAAGCCCCGGCUAACUCCGUGCCAGCAGCCGCGGUAAUACGGAGGGGGCAAGCGUUGUUCAGAAUUACUGGGCGUAAAGGGCGCGUAGGCGGCCGGUUGCGUCAGAUGUGAAAGCCCCGGGCUCAACCUGGGAACAGCAUUUGAUACGGGCUGGCUUGAGAGCGAGAGAGGAGUGUGGAAUUCCCAGUGUAGAGGUGAAAUUCGUAGAUAUUGGGAAGAACGCCAGUGGCGAAGGCGGCACUCUGGCUCGUUUCUGACGCUGAGGCGCGAAAGCGUGGGGAGCAAACAGGAUUAGAUACCCUAGUAGUCC